AUAAGUCAACUUCAAAUAAAGGGUUCCCAUGCAUGCACUUACUACUAGUUUCAAAAUUUUCACUAGGAAUAUGCCCAACAUAAGAAACACAUAAAGAUGAAGUAGAUGGCAUUUCUAAGAACAUAUCACCUUCUAUUUCACAAGAGUUGUCCUCACAUACGUACAAACCAUCACAGGAAGCCAAAGGACCACAAUCAAAAUCAUUUUCACAAAGAC
rnacentral:lncRNA from 1 species